ACCGAGGUGGUGGAAUUGGUAGACACGCUAUCUUGAGGGGGUAGUGAGCGUAUGCUCGUGUGGGUUCAAGUCCCGUUCUCGGUACCA
rnacentral:tRNA from 1 species